rnacentral:misc_RNA from 1 species
GGAAGUAGAAGUCGUAACAAGGUUCCCGUAGGUGAACCUGCGGAAGGAUCAUUAGUGAACCCCCUCACGGGCUUAUAACUAUUCCAAACCUCUGUGAACCGUGCCCUUCGGGGCUAUUUUACAAACAUGGUGUAAUGAACGUCAUAUAUCAUAACAAAACAAAACUUUCAACAACGGAUCUCUUGGCUCUC